AAAGUCGUGGUUGGAAUCAGAAGGGGAAAGAAGAGCCAGGCAAGAAGACUAGGUGGAAAAUACCAUAAUUGUCCAUCAUGGAGAUGAUAAAUACCCUAGUAAAGGGGCAGAUAAAGUAUCACUAGAGUUCAGGGGAAGAAGAUAUAACUCCUAGCUGUGGAGAUCGAGAAGACCUUGGAAGACGUGACUUUUGAGCAGAGAAUAUGUAAAAGUCUCCUCCAGUCUGUGACGGUUCCUCAAGCUCUCUUUUCACUUAUAACCCAGACACUGAAGAGUGCUGAUCCAGCCAUAAUUAUCUCCUGAGAGACACCUUCUCUGACCUCCCAGGAUUAUCCAUUCGAAACGCAUCUUGAAAAAUGAUUUCAAGUAGGCCCCCAGGACGUUCUCCCAUGGUCAUGCGGCCCCUCCUUCACAAGCUCACCCAAAUCGUGAUGAUAACUUUAUAUGGUGCUCUGUCUGCCGAGUCUGUCUCCCCAUCCAGACUGUCAGCUCCACGAGACCUGCCAAGUUGCAGCAUAUGCUCUUGAACCUCUGGCUGGCUGGCUGCAAGGAGAGGCUCAGAGACGGCUUACAUGGGGAAAAAGGAGGGGAAGCCACUUCUUACCCAUCUGGGACCUUUCCUCUGUGCGACAGACAUUUGCAGAAUGCCCGGACCACACACCCAACAGGGUCUGCUCUGGCUCUGGCCUUUCCCCAGCUGGAGCCCCUUGGCUCCAGACCCUCUCACCUUGCCCCUUUCUCAGUGAUGGGAUGAUCCUAAGGGUGCAUUGGGAAGGGGAUGUAUUUCACAGGGUCAAGCUUUAGUCUAAAAGGAGCCAUAAUGAGGGCAUUUCAGACCUGUCAGCAGAACACCCAUGGGUAUUUGGGGGCUUCAUGCUUGUAAAGGUUUUUUGAGUGACUAAUAGCCAACCGAGGAAAAGUUUUCCUCUCUUAACCAAGUAAAUAAGAACAUUCACACCACAAGAGGUGGAGGGAAGGGGUGGAGUUUGCACAAAACAUAAAAAAUUGUUGACCCUGGCAAGGUAAGAACAGAAGUAGCAUCACAUCUGUUCAGAUAGCUAAUACUUACUAAGCAGUGCCCACGUACCAGGAUCUAACCUAAGCUCUUGACAUAUGCAAGUUCCUGAACGCUCACCCCCGACCUUAUGAGGUUGGACCUAUUCCUCUCUCCAUUUUGUGGAUGAGGACAUUGAAACCUAAUGCCACACAUCGAGGAAGUACCCAGAUCUGUCCAACUCCAGAUCUGUCCUGAACCUUCACUACCACAAAACAGCUGCUCAGCUGGCUUACUGUGUGAUUGGGGCAAAUUCCUCAACCUCUCUCAGCCUCAGAUUCUUCACCUAUAAAUUGUUCCUUAUUCAAACCACCCUGUGCUGCGUGCUAGAAUUAAUUCUUUAUAAAUGUUAAUUCUCUGCUUGAGCCCUCAUGACAGCCCAAGGAGAGAGAAAAUGUGGCAGAAACAAUGCUUUGGGUUCUCCAACCUAUUCCCUCUUCCUGUGCACACAGGAAGGGCACAGCCUCAACCUCACUUGCAGUCCUGGGCAAAGCAAUUAAGAGUGUGUGAGCCUCUUGAUUUCUGGGUUCCCUUUCUACAUGCGUAAGACUCAAAAACAGAUUCCAGGAGGGCGUGAGGGAGUUGUUGCUUGGAAGAGAGGUGCCUUCCAAAAGAGAUGGGUUAGGAGAGCUCUGCCCUUUAUCGGAGUUUGUGUGAGUGAGAAAUAAACUCCAACUGGGUUAGGCCACUAAGAUUUUUGGUUUGUUACGUUAAUUACACUGAAUAAAACUGUAUACCUGGGCGCCUGGCUGACUCAAUGGGAAGAACAUGCGACUCUUUAUCUCGGGGUCAUGAGUUCAAGCCCCACACCAUGUG